AAAUGGAGCUUUAAUUUGAUAAAUUUAAACAAAUUUUAGGUAAGAUUAAAUAAAGUAAUGUUAAAAUAAGCAUUUCUCAUCAGAUAUGAAAUAUCGGUUGCUCUUAUUACCAAUAAAACAUUCUUCCUUCCUUAUUUUACCUGCCUAAUUUUUCAAUUUAUAAUUUUACGAUUAUUUUUCUUCAGGAAAGCUUCGAGACAACUCGUUUUAAUCACAAACUCAUGUAUAAUGUAAAUGUAUAAUUCAUCAACACAAGGUGUUUAUAGUGAAAGGUUUUCAACAUGUUAUGAUAAUUUAUUCAUAGAAUGUAUAGACAAUGAGUCAAGGUUAUGCUUAAGAUGCAUUUCGGUUGUUUUAACUUGACUCGGGGUAGGCUGUUGUGAAAAUUUGACUUAACUUUCACACAUGAUCAGAGAUCAUUACAACUUGUAUAUGAAUAUAAAUAUGUCCGCCUGUUUUUAAUAUUAUUUUGAUGGUUGAAUAAUGGACUUCAAGUCUUAACCUCCUGUUUGCACCUGUACUAGUUCAUAUUCAUAUAAAAUCCGACUGGCCACGUUAUAACUGGUGACCUAAACAUUGUCAAUAACAGUUCCUUGUCAGUUACCAGAAACCUCGUCAGUGAUUGACAUAUGCUGGUCCCAUGUCAGUAUGCCGGUUCAAAGUCAAUAUCCUCGAAAGUAGUUUUUGUUUGCCGGUCCCAUGUCAGAAACUAUGUUUCAAGUUGUCGUAUGCCGUUUCCUAGUCAGAAAUCUCGUCAGACAUUGCUGUAUGCCAUACCACAGUCAGAAACCGCGUAACGGUAGUCAUCGAAUGCCAGUCCCAAGUCAGAAAUCUCGUCAGUGGUUAACAUAUGCCGGUCCCAUAUCAGUAACCUCAUCAGUAGUUGUUGUAUGCCGGUUCAAAGUCAAUAACCUCGAAAGUAGUUUUUGUAUGCCGGUUCCAUGUCAGGAACCUUGUCUUAAGUUGUCGUACGCCGUUUUCUAGUCAAAAACCUCGUCAAACAUUGCUGUAUGCCGGUCCACAGUCAGAAACCGCGUAACGGUAGUCAUCGAAUGCCAGUCCCAAGUAAGAAACCUUGUCAGUCAAUGCCAUGUGCCAGUCCUGUGUCAGGGACCUUGUAAGUAGUUACUGUAUGCCGUUCACAAGUCAGAAACGUCGUCAGUAAGGAGAUGUGGUAUGAUUGUCAAGAGAUGUGGUAUGAUUGUCAAUAAGGAGAUUGUGGUAUGAUUGUCAAUAAGGAGAUUGUGGUAUGAUUGUCAAUAAGGAGAUGUGGUAUGAUUGUCAAUAAGGUGUGGUAAUAAGGAGAUUGGUAUCAUUGUCGAUAAGGAGAUGUGUAUAAUUCAAUAGGGAGAUGUGGUAGAUGUGGUAUGAUUGUAAAUAAGGGGAUCGCUAGGAUUGCAAUAAGAUGUGUUAUGAUUGUCAACAAGGAGAUGUGGUAUCAAUGUCAAAAAGGAGAUGUGGUUUGAUUGUCAAUAAGGAGAUGCGGUAUGUUCAAUAAGGAGAUGUAAUAUGAUUAUCAAUAAGGAGAACUGGUAUGAUUAAUAAGGAGAAGAUGUAUGAUUGUCAAUAAGGAGAUGCUGUAUGAUUGUCAAAAGGAGGUUUGGUAUGAUUGUCGUAUAAAAAAAGAGAGAUGUGGUAUUGUUGUCAAUGUAAAAAUAAGGGAAUGGGGUAUGAUUGUCAAUUAGAAGAUUGGUAUGAUUGUCGAUAAGGAGGAGAUGUGGUGUGAUUGUCAAUAAGGAGGAUAUGUGGUAUGAUUGUCAAUAAGGAGAUGGUAUAUUGUCAUAAGGAGCAGGUAUGAUUGUCCAAUCAAGGGAGUGUGGUAUGAUUGUCAAGAGAGGAGAUGUGGUUAAUUAUCAAUAAGGAGGAGAUGUGGUAUGAUUGUAUUUGACAGGAGAUGUGGUGUGAUUGCAAUAAGGGUGAUGUGUAUGAUUGUAUAAUAAGUCAAUAAGGAGAUGUGGUAUGAUUGUCAAGAGAUGUGAUAUGAUUGUCAAUAAGGAGAUUGUGGUAUAAUUGUCAAUAAGGAGGAGAUGUGGUAUGAUUGUCAAUCAGGAGAUGUGGUGUGAUUGUCAAUAAGGAGGAGAUGUGGUAUGAUUGUCAAUAAGGAGAUUGGUAUCAUUGUCGAUAAGGAGAUGUGAUAUGAAUGUCAAUAGGGAGAUGUGGUAUGAUUGUCAAUAGGGAGAUGUGGUAUGAUUGUCAAUAAGGGGAUCGGUAGGACUGCCAGUAAGAUGUGUUAUGAUUGUCAAUAAGGAGAUGUAGUAUCAUUGUCAAAAAGGAGAUGUGGUUUGAUUGUCAAUAAGGAGAUGCAGUAUGUUCAAUAAGGAGAUGUGGUAUGAUUAAUAAGGAGAAGAUGUAUGAUUGUCAAUAAGGAGGUUUGGUAUGAUUGUCAUAUAAAAAAAGAGAUGUGGUAUUGUUGUCAAUGUAGAAAUAAGGGAAUGGGGUAUGAUUGUCAAUAAGGAGAUGUUGUAUGAUUGUCAAUAAGAAGAUAAGGUAUGACGGUCAAUUAAGAAAUGUGGUAUGAUUGUCAAUAAGGAGAUGUAGUAUGAUUUUCAAUAAGGAGAUAUGGUAUGAUUGUCAAUAAGAAGAUGCGGUAUGAUUGUCUGUAAGGAAAGUUGGCAUGAUUGUUAAUAUGGAUAUUUUGUUUGACCGUCAGUAAGGAGAUAAAGUAUGAUUAUUAAUCAAGGGAUAUGAUUGUCAAUACAAAUAUGUGCUAUGAUAGUCAAUACUGAGAUGUAACUUGUAAUAGUCAAUUAGGAGACGUAAUUUGAUUGCCAACAUAGAAAAUAGGAUGUUCUAUGAUUGUCAAUAAGAGGGGGGAGCAUCAUUGUCAAUAAAAUAAAGAAAUGUGGUUUGAUUGUCCAUUAGAAGAUGAAGUAUGAUUGUCAAUACGGUGAUGUGGUAUGGUUGUCAAUAAAACUAAAAAUCAUGCGUACAUAUAAAAUUAAGGAGAUAUAGUAUGAAAGUCAAUAAGAGUAGAAAGCCUGUGUAGAUAUAACAAGAAGGAGAUGUAAUAUGAUUGACAAUGACAGUAGAAAUCAUGUGUAGAUAUCAAAACAAGUAGAUCUGGUAUGGUUGUGAAUAAGAGUAGCAAUUAUGUGUAGAUAUAGCAAGAAGAAUAUUGGGAAUGGUUUUCAAUAAAGAGAGGUGGUAUAAUUGUCAAUAAAGAGAUAUGGUAUGAUUGUCAAUAAUGAGAUGUGGUAUGAUUGUCAAUAAGGAGAUGUAGUAUGAUUGUCGAUAAGGAGGAGAAGUGGUUUGAUUGUCAAUAAGGAGAUGUGUAAUGAUUGUCAAGAAGGAGAUUUAGUUUGAUUGUCAAUAAGAAGGAGAUGUGGUAUGAUUUUUAAUAAUGAAAUGUGGCAUGAUUGUCAAUAAAGAGAUGUAGUAUGAUUGACAAUAAGGAGGAGAAGUUGUAUGAUUGUCAAUAAGGGGAUGUGGUAUGAUUGUCAAUAAGGAGGAGAUGUGGUAUGAUUUUCAAUAAUGGAAUGUGGCAUGAUUGUCAAUUAGGAGAUGGGGUAUGGUUGUCAAUCAGAAGACGUUGAAUGGUUGUGUAGUUUAUGCUCUCUGUCAACCAGUUGAAAUAACCCUAGCAACAACUCUUUAAAGGGUCAAAAGCAACUAUAUUGCAAAGCAGUAUUUCUGCCCUGGCAGUAAAAUAUCCUGCCAUCAUUACAUUUGAACAACCUUGCAUAAACUAUACGCAUUAUACACAUUCAAAUUAAUGUUUGAAUUGUUCUUGUCCAGAAUUUGCACGAAAUAAUUGUCACUGAACUAAAAACCAACAAUCAUUCAAGCAACACCAAAAUCUCAACUAUAUAAACACCUGUCUAUUGUUGUUGACUGAAAUUCUUUAUAUCUCAUUUGAUUUUUUUUUGUCGUUGGGUUGCCUCUCAUUGACGCUUCAUUAUUAUCUUCUUUCAUUCCGACAAAAAAAUCAUCCAACAAAAUAGCUGCAAAAAAACGGAAAAAAAACCCAGAUCAAUCCGUUGUAUGUAUAAAACAGAAUAGAACAUUUUAUUCACUAAAUUAGGGUCCCAGUAGGGCAUAUAACACAUAAACAAUAUCAUUUUAAACAUUUGCAGAACAAUAAUACAUGCAAUGCAAUCUAGACAAUAGGGAUGGUGCUUGAUUUUCAUAUGGUGAGGACAUAAUCUUUCAAUCAGUUUAAUUGAGGUCAGGAGCUGGCAUGUCAGUAACUGCUAGUAGUUCUUUGUUAAUCUAUGUAUUAUUGUCAUUUUGCUUAGUUUCUUUUAUUACCUAUUCUGACAUCGGACUCGGACUUCUUGAAAUUGAUGAGACUGUCAUUAAAGUGAGAGGGUUAGCGCUAUAGAACCAGGUUUAAUCCACCAUUUUCUCAAUUGAAAAUGCCUGUACCAAGUCAGGAAUAUGACAGUUUUUGUCCAUUCGUUUUUGAUGCGUUUUGUUAUUUGAUUUUGCCAUGUGAUUAUGGACUUUCCAAAUUGAUCUUCCUCUAAGUUCAGUAUUUUUGUGAUUUUACUUUUUUCUUUUAAACUGAGUUUUACUGUGUGUAUUGCUGUGUGUUUCUUUAUUCUACAUUGACUAGAGGUAUAGUGGAGGGUUGAGAUCUCACAAAACAUGUUUAACCCCGCCGCAUUUUUGCGCCGGUCCCAAGUCAGGAGCCUCUUAAAAGAUUUUCUUCCCAUCCCCACUUAACCAGUUUUAAUGUUAUUGGCCGUCUGUAUAAUACAGUCAAGGAAAAAUCGCUACUAUACGUUUAUUUCUUUAUUAACUGUGGUUCUGUAUCUUCUGAGCAAUUUUUUUCUUGUUUUUGUUAUUUUUACGACAUUUGGUAGAGAUACAGAUCAUUGUACUAAGCACAAAACAAGAAAAAGACAAGAGACACAAAAUAUUGAUCUUUGAGUAUUUACGGUAUCUGUAAGUUAGUUCAAAGUCCUAAAUUUCAAAUUAUAAAUAAACCAUAUUUUAUUAUACUAAAAGGCCACCGAGAACCUGUCAAUUUAUAGUAUACGUAUAAACGUGAUCUAAAGGAUAAACACUCCUACUUCACAAAGGAAAAAUCGUCGGACAGUUUUUAGUAGUUGGGUGUCUCAUUAAAAAUAUAUUGAUAAGUAUUCUAAAUGGGAAUGGUCAGAGCAUAUUGGUUAGGAAAAUUAUAGUCCGUAUCGAGUCUCUUGGUCAUUAUAAUACACGAAUGGGACCUUAUAAUUGCAUGUUAAUAAAGAAACGGUCGAAACUGAAAAGUAUCAAUAAGCUACCGGUAAUGACUCGGGGAUUAUACAUUUCUAUUUGUAUAUACAGAAGGUAACAGAUUUAAAUAAAAAAAACCGUCGUAAAACCUAUGUGAAUACUUUAUGAAAGUUGAUUGUUUAUUGCUAGAUGCUUAACGUCCAGUGGCAAAUAGUUCUUGCCUGUACAGGACGAGAACAAAGUUAGAAUUAUAGAUACAAUAGGUACUGUAAUAGAGGCCGUCCGGGAUGAAGGUCGGGGAAAUUUGGACUGCCACUGGAAAAUGAGGGUAUAUUGGAUAGAGACAGAAAUUUUGCCUUGCAAAAGGCCACCUACGGACCCCUCAAAUUUGUUGUUGUAAGGGUUUUUAAGUUGAAAGGAGCGCGGCACCCUUUUAACACGAGGCAUCGGAUUUAACGUCUCCAAUUUGACCGGGGGUGACUUCAAACUUGUACAUCCCUCACAGGUAAAUACACAAUAUAAAAAAGAAGAUGUGGUAUGAUUGCCAAUGAGACAACUCUCCACAAGAGACCAAUGAACACAGAAAUUAACAACUAUAGUUUACCGUAAGGCCUUCAAAUGAACAAAGCCAUACCGCAUAGUCAGCUAUAAAAGGCCCCGAAAUGAUAAUGUAAAACAAUUCAAACGUGAAAACUAACGGCUUUAUUUAUGUACAAAAGAUGAACGAAAAACAAAUAUGUAACACAUAAGCAAACGACACCACUGAAUUACAGGCUCUACUUGGGACAGGCACAUACAUACAUAACGUGGCGGGGUUAAACAUGUUAGCGGGAUCCAAACUCCCCCUAACCUGGGACAGUGGUAUAACAGUACAACAUAAGAACGAACUAUAAAACAGUUGAAAAGGGCUUAACUCAUCAGAUGGCAAAAAUACAGUGGACGUACGCGUGCCGGGUACUUGUACAUCCAACAACAAAAGACACUAGGUACAGAUCUUAGAGUACUCGCAGUUAACUGACAGCUAGUUCAAAACUAACAACUAAUAAAAAAUCAUGCUCUAAGACUAAAUAUCAAUCCGUACACAUCCAACAUCCAAUGGAUUUAGUGUAAAGACGUUAUAAACAGUCAGAGAAAAAACAUUACCUUUUGCAAUGCCAAGAUACAGGUAUCGACAGAUUGUAGAUCCAUGAAUGUGUAUAUGUAUAUAACAUACUAGUAAUAGUUAGUAUGCUUUUAAUUUACUGAUAACAAAAAUCAAUAUUCAUACAAAUAAAAACAAUAUUCAAUGAUCUUAUUACAGUGUUGAAUUGGUAACCUUUCAGAAUAAGUUUAUUUAAAGGAGCGAUAAGUUUACCAGGAUCAUUUCUAAAUUUCCGAGCACGGUUAACAACAUUUCCGUAAAAAUGUUUGAAAUAAGCACGUUGACUCAAUGAUAGUAACCUGUUUUAAUAUAAUGUAUCAAUAUAUACAUGAAAUUCCUUUUUAAUAUGUAUGUUGCAGGAUCAUGGCCAGUAAUUGGCGUCUUUGUGGUUUUUGUGAUAGUAUUCAGAUGAACAAAUCAUCAGUAGUCUGGUGCUUUGAAUGUGACGAAGGACUAUGCGAAGAUUGUAGGGAACAUCACUUUAUUUUAAAUGGAACAAACCACGAAACUGUUUCCAUCGAUGCGAACAAAAAGUUACCAACCGAAGUCCUGCAAAUCGUUCAAGUCUGUAAAAAACAUAAUGAGAAAUUCGAGCUUUUCUGUAGAAAACACGACUGUCCGUGCUGUAAGAAAUGUGUGAAAUUUCACAACGAUUGUAAAGAUUUAACCGACAUUAAUGAAAUCAUAAAAAACGUCAAAACCUCCAACGCCUUUUACGAAAUCGAACAAAACCUGCAUGAAGUCAUCGAGAAUAUUAAAAGACUCAGCACUAACCGAAAAGAAAAUUUGAAAUCGCUAGAAAACAAGAAAAUAGAAAUUAAAGCAGAAAUAAAACACACUAGAACCAAAGUAAAUGAUCACCUAGAUAAACUUCAGGAUGAUUUGAUGAAAGAAUUAAUUACAGUUGAACAAAAAGAAAAUAUCAAAAUACAAAAAUUGUUGACUACUCUGAAAAAGAAGGAAAAAGAGAUCACGGAAGUACAAGAAAAUAUAACUAGUAUUAAACAGCAUGCGUCCGAACUUCAAACAUUUUUAACCAUGAAAGAUAUCGAAAAAGAUAUUCUCGCGAAGAAAGAAAUAUUCAAUCGCUUAGUACAAGUGACACCACAAAUCAAGUCAAUAUUUCAUGUCAAAUUGACAAGUCUUUACAGCAAAUCACAGCCAGCGUACAGAAGUUUGGAGAAAUUAAUGUCUGUUUUGGUCUAUGUGAUUUUUCCAUUCAGAAAAAAAAGGAGAGACAAGCCCAAAUUAUGGUAGAAACCAGAAAUUUCGAUAACGUGACUUUGACGUUACAGAAACGUAUCAAUACAAAGUUGUCAGGUGUCCAUGGUUUUUCUUUCCUACCUAAUGGAAGAAUGGUAUUCUCUUGUUAUGACCAAAAUAAAAUAAGAGUACUCAAGUCUGACGGAUCAAAGGAUUUCGAAAGAAAUAAAAUUGGUCUUACGUUUGAUGUGGUAUUUAUUGGUGAUGGUUCUAUUGCUGUCACAUCUGCAAAAUCAGAUAAGAUUAAUAUAAUUGACUUAAAGAAUCACAAACUGAAGAAAUCAAUAGAAGUUAAAUCAUACAAUGGUGGAGCAGUAUACAAAGACGGACAUUUGAUUUAUUGUGCCAGGAAGAAAGGACUACAGAUGAUUAGUCUUAGUGAUGAAUCCAUAACCAAUGUUAUCAAAAACAAACUUCCGACAUGGUCGUACGUUACAACAUUCGGUGACAAACUGUUCUACACAAACUGUGAAAAUGAAAGUGUAACCUGUUGUGAUUACCAUGGUAACAUACUGUGGACAUUCUGUGACACAAAUGUUCUGGAGUUUCCACUCGGUAUCUGUGCAGACAAUGAUGGUAACGUAUUUGUGGUGGGAUAUCUUACUCACAACGUAGUCGUCAUCUCAGCUGAUGGACGACGCUAUAGACAACUUUUAUCACGUAAUGAGGGACUGAACAGACCCACGGUGCUGCAUUAUGAUCAAUCUACCAAUCAAUUGUUAGUAGCAAAUAGAGCGAAUGACGCGUUCUUGUAUGACGUUAAUUAUUAGUAGUGUUGUUAAUGGUUCCAGUAUUCGUCUUAAGACUAGAUUACUGACUAUAUGUCAAAUAGAUCAAUUGGUUUUAUCUAAAUUUGUUUGCAUUUAUAUUCCUUGCUAAUCGGG
rnacentral:lncRNA from 1 species